rnacentral:rRNA from 1 species
CCUACGGGGGGCAGCAGUCGAGAAUCAUUCACAAUGGGGGAAACCCUGAUGGUGCGACGCCGCGUGGGGGAAUGAAGGUCUUCGGAUUGUAAACCCCUGUCAUGUGGGAGCAAAUUAAAAAGAUAGUACCACAAGAGGAAGAGACGGAUAACUCUGUGCCAGCAGCCGCGGUAAUACAGAGGUCUCAAGCGUUGUUCGGAAUCACUGGGCGUAAGGCGUGCGUAGGCUGUUUCGUAAGUCGUGUGUGAAAGGCGCGGGCUCAACCCGCGGACGGCACAUGAUACUGCGAGACUAGAGUAAUGGAGGGGGAACCGGAAUUCUCGGUGUAGCAGUGAAAUGCGUAGAUAUCGAGAGGAACACUCGUGGCGAAGGCGGGUUCCUGGACAUUAACUGACGCUGAGGCACGAAGGCCAGGGGAGCGAAAGGGAUUAGAUACCCCUGUAGUC